rnacentral:rRNA from 1 species
CAGUCGCCGCGGGAAUACGUAGGUGGCAAGUGUUGUCCGGAAUUAUUGGGCGUAAAGGGCUCGCAGGCGGUUUCUUAAGUCUGAUGUGAAAGCCCCCGGCUCAACCGGGGAGGGUCAUUGGAAACUGGGAAACUUGAGUGCAGAAGAGGAGAGUGGAAUUCCACGUGUAGCGGUGAAAUGCGUAGAGAUGUGGAGGAACACCAGUGGCGAAGGCGACUCUCUGGUCUGUAACUGACGCUGAGGAGCGAAAGCGUGGGGAGCGAACAGGAUUAGAUACCCCAGUAGUCCCUGUCUCUUAUAC